UGGGGAAUAUUGGACAAUGGGCGCAAGCCUGAUCCAGCCAUGCCGCGUGAGUGAUGAAGGCCCUAGGGUUGUAAAGCUCUUUCGGCGGGGACGAUAAUGACGGUACCCGCAGAAGAAGCCCCGGCUAACUUCGUGCCAGCAGCCGCGGUAAUACGAAGGGGGCUAGCGUUGCUCGGAAUCACUGGGCGUAAAGCGCACGUAGGCGGAUCUUUAAGUCAGGGGUGAAAUCCCGGGGCUCAACCUCGGAACUGCCUUUGAUACUGGGGAUCUCGAGUCCGGAAGAGGUUGGUGGAACUCCGAGUGUAGAGGUGAAAUUCGUAGAUAUUCGGAAGAACACCAGUGGCGAAGGCGGCCAACUGGUCCGGCACUGACGCUGAGGUGCGAAAGCGUGGGGAGCAAACAGG
rnacentral:rRNA from 1 species